AUGUCAGCCACCAUCUGCGACGGGACGGGGUCAGGCGCCUGCGCCUCAGCCUCCUGCCGGCCCCUCCCACAGCCCCGAGGCGGCGACUUGCCUUGGCUUCCGGGAGCCCUCCAUCCUCGCCCUCUGGCUGCCAUCCCGCUAGGGAAACCUGCUCUGUGCCCCGGGCAGGGGAGCCGCUGGCUCCUCCGAGCACCUGCCUGGUCACAGUGGCACCCCGGCUGCAGGGGGCUGGGGCAGCUCCGGAAAUGCCAGCAGCCACUUCACGGACCACCCCUCCUCUCAGCUCCUAGGACCCUCUCUCCACAGCGGGCACCUGCUGGCCACCACCGGCCAAUGCAAAAAGCAGGUGGGCUGUGUGAGGGCCCACCCGCUGGCGGGAAGGCGUGCUCUAGUUCCCGGGGCCGGGCUGGCGAGCCCUCCCCGCUCUCCUCGGGUGAUCUCACUCCCUUCCAGGCUUCUCCCGCCAGCCAAGUGGCGAGGACACCUCCCAAACACCCUCUCCAGCCAAAAUCCACCUCAGUGGAGCUGCUGGGUGGUGCCCCCGAGAUGUCCCGGGCACCGCGGGCACCGCGCGCUCCCCCAGCUCCUCCCCGCCCCUGCUGGCUACUGGGAACACCCCGAGAGACGGCCUCACCUCCUCCCCGGCCCUCAGCCUCCACAGCCAGCUCACGGCUCCUCCUGAUACCUCUGCGGCCACCGGAAGGCCCGCCCAGUGGUGUCAGGCCCCACUACUCCUCUCUUCUCACUGCAGCCGAGGGAGCCGAUGACCUCCUCCCCUUGGGCCACACUUCCUGACAUGGCUUCCAGGCACUGGGGAACCCCUCGUCGCCUCCCAGCACCCCCCCCCCCCCCGCAGCCCCACGUCACUGCCACUGGGCUGAGUUUCUUCCACCAGUCACAGGGACUCCUGGGCCUCCUAAAAAUGCCCUACCUCAGGGCCUUUGCACACGCUGCCCCCCGGCCUGAGGCACACCCCCCCUCCCUCGGGCCAAAGGCUUCCUGGGCGGGUUUCAGCUCCUGGCCGCCGUGGCCCUGCUCUCCGCCCCCCUGGGCUGCUGUCACUUACUCGAGGGUCGUUUGCCCCCUUCCCAGCGUCAGGCCUGUUUCCUGGCGGCUGCGGGCAUGGUUAAUAGCACCUGCUAAUAACCGGCGGGGGGGGGGGGGGGGGUCCCAAGGGAAAUUCCCGAAGUUGGGGGGGGUGAAGGUUUCCCCCGGGGCCCCCCUGGGUUCUGGCAACUCAGGGGCGGG
rnacentral:lncRNA from 1 species